rnacentral:misc_RNA from 1 species
GAUGAAGAACGUAGCGAAAUGCGAUACGUAAUGUGAAUUGCAGAAUUCAGUGAAUCAUCGAAUCUUUGAACGCAUAUUGCGCUCUUUGGUAUUCCGAAGAGCAUGCUUGUUUGAGUAUCAGUAAACACCUCAAAGUCUUUUUUUCUUGAAGAAAAAGACCUUGGACUUGAGCAAUCCCAACUCUUCUUUCAGAAGAGGCGGGUUGCUUGAAAUGCAGGUGCAGCUGGACACUCUCCUGAGCUAAAAGCAUAUUCAUUUAGUCCCGUCAAACGGAUUAUUACUUUUGCUGCAGCUAACAUAAAGGGAGUUUGACCAUUUUGGCUGACUGAUGCAGGAAUUUCACAAGAGUCUUCAAAACGCUCUUGUUAAACUCGAUCUCAAAUCAAGUAAGACUACCCGCUGAACUUAAGCAUAUCAAUAAGCGGAGGA